rnacentral:rRNA from 1 species
UACGUAGGGUGCAAGCGUUGUCCGGAAUUAUUGGGCGUAAAGAGCUCGUAGGCGGUUCGUCACGUCGGCUGUGAAAUCCCGAGGCUCAACCUCGCGCCUGCAGUGGGUACGGGCAGACUAGAGUGCGGUAGGGGAGAUUGGAAUUCCUGGUGUAGCGGUGGAAUGCGCAGAUAUCAGGAGGAACACCGGUGGCGAAGGCGGGUCUCUGGGCCGAUGACUGACGCUGAGGAGCGAAAGCGUGGGGAGCGAACAGG